ACGAAGGGUGCAAGCGUUACUCGGAAUUACUGGGCGUAAAGCGUGCGUAGGUGGUUCGUUAAGUCUGUCGUGAAAGCCCCGGGCUCAACCUGGGAAUGGCGAUGGAUACUGGCGAGCUAGAGUGCGGUAGAGGAGAGUGGAAUUCCCGGUGUAGCAGUGAAAUGCGUAGAUAUCAGGAGGAAUACCGAUGGCGAAGGCAGGUCUCUGGGCUGACACUGACGCUCAUGCACGAAAGCGUGGGGAGCAAACAGGA
rnacentral:rRNA from 1 species